rnacentral:lncRNA from 1 species
CAGUGUCUGGUAAAUAUGGUUCAGUACUGGGAAUGUUCCCUACGUUUCAGUCACUGUCUGGUAAAUAUGGUUCAGUACUGGGAAUGUUCCCUAUGUUUCAGUCAGUACUGGGAAUGUUCCCUAUGUUUCAGUCAGUACUGGGAAUGUUCCCUAUGUUUCAGUCAGUACUGGGAAUGUUCCCUAUGUUUCAGUCAGUACUGGGAAUGUUCCCUACGUUUCAGUCAGUGUCUGGUAAAUAUGGUUCUGUACUGGGAAUGUUCCCUACGUUUCAGUCACUGUCUGGUAAAUAUGGUUCUGUACUGGGAAUGUUCCCUACGUUUCAGUCACUGUCUGGUAAAUAUGAUUCAGUACUGGGAAUGUUCCCUACGUUUCAGUCACUGUCUGGUAAAUAUGAUUCAGUACUGGGAAUGUUCCCUACGUUUCAGUCAGUACUGGGAAUGUUCCCUACAUUUCAGUCAGUACUGGGAAUGUCCCCUACGGUUCAGUCACUGUCUGGUAAAUAUGGUUUAGUACUGGGAAUGUUCCCUACGUUUCAGUCACUGUCUGGUAAAUAUGAUUCAGUACUGGGAAUGUUCCCUACGUU